UACGGAGGGUGCAAGCGUUAUCCGGAUUCACUGGGUUUAAAGGGUGCGUAGGUGGAUUAGUAAGUCAGUGGUGAAAUCUCCGAGCUUAACUCGGAAACUGCCAUUGAUACUAUUAGUCUUGAAUUAUCUGGAGGUGAGCGGAAUAUGUCAUGUAGCGGUGAAAUGCUUAGAUAUGACACAGAACACCGAUUGCGAAGGCAGCUCACUAAACUGUAACUGACGCUGAGGCACGAAAGCGUGGGGAGCAAACAGG
rnacentral:rRNA from 1 species